AUUGAACGCUGGCGGCAGGCCUAACACAUGCAAGUCGAACGGUAACAGGAAGAAGCUUGCUUCUUUGCUGACGAGUGGCGGACGGGUGAGUAAUGUCUGGGAAACUGCCUGAUGGAGGGGGAUAACUACUGGAGACGGUAGCUACUACCGCAUAACGUCGCAAGACCAAAGAGGGGGACCUUCGGGCCUCUUGCCAUCGGAUGUGCCCAGAUGCGUUUCACUAGUAGGUGGGUGAGCGGCUCACCUACGCGGCGACCGCUAGCUGGUCUGAGGGGAUGACCAGCCACAGUGGAAGUGAGACACGGUACAGACCCCUACGGGAGGCCGGAGUGGGGACUAUUGCAAUGUGGGCGAAAGCGUGAUGCCGCCACGCCGCGUGUAUGAAGAAGGCCUUCGGGUUGUAAAGUACUUUCAGCGGGGAGGAAGGGAGUAGAGUUAAUACCUUUGCUCAUUGACGUUACCUGCAGAAGAAGCACCGGCUAACUCCGU
rnacentral:rRNA from 1 species